rnacentral:rRNA from 1 species
GACAGAGGGUGCAAACGUUGUUCGGAAUUACUGGGCGUAAAGCGUGCGCAGGCGGUUUUGUAAGCCAGAUGUGAAAGCCCCGGGCUUAACCUGGGAAUGGCAUUUGGGACUGCAAGGCUUGAGUGCGGCAGAGGAGACUGGAAUUCCUGGUGUAGCAGUGAAAUGCGUAGAUAUCAGGAGGAAUACCGAUGGCGAAGGCAGGUCUCUGGGCUGACACUGACGCUCAUGCACGAAAGCGUGGGGAGCAAACAGG